rnacentral:rRNA from 1 species
AACGAACGCUGGCGGCAGGCCUAACACAUGCAAGUCGAGCGAGGACUUCGGUCCUAGCGGCGGACGGGUGAGUAACGCGUGGGAACGUGCCCUUUGCUUCGGAAUAGCUCUGGGAAACUGGGAGUAAUACCGGAUGAGCCCUUUGGGGGAAAGAUAUAUCGGCGAAGGAUCGGCCCGCGUUGGAUUAGGUAGUUGGUGGGGUAAUGGCCUACCAAGCCGACGAUCCAUAGCUGGUUUGAGAGGAUGAUCAGCCACACUGGGACUGAGACACGGCCCAGACUCCUACGGGAGGCAGCAGUGGGGAAUCUUAGACAAUGGGGGAAACCCUGAUCUAGCCAUGCCGCGUGAGCGAUGAAGGCCUUAGGGUUGUAAAGCUCUUUCAGCUGGGAAGAUAAUGACGGUACCAGCAGAAGAAGCCCCGGCUAACUCCGUG